rnacentral:rRNA from 1 species
AUUGAACGCUGGCGGCAGGCCUAACACAUGCAAGUCGAGCGGAUCGCCGGACGGGUGAGUAAUGCCUAUGAAUCUGCCUGUUAGUGGUGGAUAAAGUUCGCAAACGGGCGCUAAUACCGCAUCCUAUUACCUUAGCCUAGGCCGGAUUAGCUAGUUGGAGGGGUAAAGGGCUACCAAGGCGACGAUCCGUAACUGGUCUGAGAGGAUGAUCAGUCACACUGGAACUGAGACACGGUCCAGACUCCUACGGGAGGCAGCAGUGGGGAAUAUUGGACAAUGGGCGAAAGCCUGAUGCAGCCAUGCCGCGUGUGUGAAGAAGGUCUUCGGAUUGUAAAGCACUUUCAGUUGGGAGGCGUUACCAACAGAAUAAGCACCGGCUAACUUCGUGCCAGCAGCCGCGGUAAUUC